rnacentral:rRNA from 1 species
UAGGGAAUCUUCCGCAAUGGACGCAAGUCUGACGGAGCAACGCCGCGUGAGUGAAGAAGGAUUUCGGUUCGUAAAACUCUGUUGUUAGAGAAGAACAGCGCAUAGAGUAACUGUUAUGCGUGUGACGGUAUCUAACCAGAAAGCCACGGCUAACUACGUGCCAGCAGCCGCGGUAAUACGUAGGUGGCAAGCGUUGUCCGGAUUUAUUGGGCGUAAAGCGAGCGCAGGCGGUCAAUUAAGUCUGAUGUGAAAGCCCCCGGCUCAACCGGGGAGGGUCAUUGGAAACGGGUUGACUUGUGUGCAGAAGAGGAACGUGGAAUUCCUUGUGUAGCGGUGAAAUGCGUAAAUAUAUGGAGGAACACCAGUUGCGAAGGCGACUGACUGGUCUAUAACUGACAAUAAGGCUCGAAAGCGUGGGUAGCGAACAGG